UACGUAGGUGACAAGCGUUGUCCGGAUUUACUGGGCGUAAAGAGCGCGCAGGCGGUCGUUCAAGUCGAGUGUGAAAGCCCCCCGGCUCAACUGGGGAGGGUCACUCGAUACUGAUCGACUCGAAGGCAGGAGAGGGAAGUGGAAUUCCCGGUGUAGUGGUGAAAUGCGUAGAGAUUUGGAGGAACACCAGUGGCGAAGGCGGCUUUCUGGUCUGUAACUGACGCUGAGGCGCGAAAGCGUGGGGAGCAAACAGG
rnacentral:rRNA from 1 species